GCCCUUAUAGCACAGUGGUAGUGCGUCGCACUCGUAGGUAUUACGUGAUGCGGAGGUCCUUAGUUCGAUCCUGAGUGGGGGCA